rnacentral:ncRNA from 1 species
UGAUAGCAAUGAAGCGCGAGGUUGCUGCUGGAUGUGAGAGUUGCACAAGAAGGCAGGUUUUCCGUGGAGCGAAUGUCAAGUUAGGAAACUGGCGACAA